rnacentral:rRNA from 1 species
UGGCGAACGGGUGAGUAGCGCGUGGGAAACCUACCCUCGAGCGGGGGAUAACACUCCUAACGGGGUGCUAAUACCGCAUGAAAUCGCCGGGUCGCAUGAUCUGGCGCUCAAAGGUGGCCUCUGCUUGCAAGCUACCGCUUGAGGAUGGUCCCGCGUCCCAUUAGCUAGUUGGCGGGGUAACGGCCCACCAAGGCGACGAUGGGUAGCUGGUCUGAGAGGACGGCCAGCCACACUGGGACUGAGAUACGGCCCAGACUCCUACGGGAGGCAGCAGUCGAGAGGCUUCGGCAAUGGGGGAAACCCUGACCGAGCGACGCCGCGUGAGGGAUGAAGGCCUUCGGGUCGUAAACCUCUUUCAGGGGGGAAGAAAUACGUGCGGUCUAAUACAUCGCACGUUUGACGGUACCUCCAGAAGAAGCUCCGGCUAACUCCGUGCCAGCAGCCGCGGUAAUACGGGGGGAGCGAGCGUUGUUCGGAAUCACUGGGCGUAAAGGGCGCGUAGGCGGCUUGGUAAGUGGAGUGUGAAAGCCCCCGGCUCAACCGGGGAUGGUCGCUCCAAACUGCCUGGCUUGAGUGCGGGAGAGGAGACUGGAAUUCUCGGUGUAGCGGUGAAAUGCGCAGAUAUCGGGAAGAACACCGGUGGCGAAGGCGAGUCUCUGGCCCGUUUCUGACGCUGAGGCGCGAAAGCUGGGGGAGCAAACGGGAUUAGAUACCCCGGUAGUCCCAGCUGUAAACGGUGGGCACUAGGUGUGGGAGGCAUCGACCCCUUCCGUGCCGCAGCUAACGCAUUAAGUGCCCCGCCUGGGGAGUACGGCCGCAAGGUUGAACUCAAGGAAUUGACGGGGGCCCGCACAAGCGGUGGAGCAUGUGGUUCAUUCG